UACGUAGGGCGCAAGCGUUGUCCGGAAUUAUUGGGCGUAAAGAGCUCGUAGGCGGCUUGUCACGUCGGGGUGUGAAAGCCCGGGGCUUAACCCCGGGUCUGCAUUCGAUACGGGCUAGUUAGAGUGUGGUAGGGGAGAUCGGAAUUCCUGGUGUAGCGGUGAAAUGCGCAGAUAUCAGGAGGAACACCGGUGGCGAAGGCGGAUCUCUGGGCCAUUACUGACGCUGAGGAGCGAAAGCGUGGGGAGCGAACAGG
rnacentral:rRNA from 1 species